rnacentral:rRNA from 1 species
UUAACUAAAAUAUAUAAUAUUAUUUAACACGAAGUUGGGGGAGCUAAUUAUUAUAUAUUUGUAGAUAUCAAGAUGUUGCAUAAUUAAGUAAAUAAUAAUUUGGAGUGAUAGGCUUCUCACAUCCAACGAUAACUUGAUAGUUAAGAAAGGUAUUAGUACUUAGGCAGUCUUUAAAUGAUAAGGUUUAAAGAAAUUAACAAAUAAUUAUAAUUAAUAAAUAUUUUGUUUAGCCACUUAUAUAAUAACAUAAAAAUAUAAUUUUAUUUAUUUUGUUUAAUAUAUUAACUAAUAUUCUAAUAAUAAAAAAUAUUAAAAAUGUUGAUAUUAGUAUCUUAAAGUUGUAAAUGAGGAACUCGGCAAUAUAUCCUUCAACUGUUUAUCAAAAACGUAGCCAUAUGAAUUAAUAUAUGGUGUCUUCUGCUCAAUGAGUAUUAAAUAGCCGCAGUACCUUGACUGUGCUAAGGUAGCGUAAUCAAUUGACUUUUAAUUGAAGUCCAGUAUGAAAGAAAUUAUGGAGGAUUACUUUCUUAUUAACAAUAAGGGAACUUACUUAAGAAGUGCAAAUUCUUCUUUUAAAAUAAUAGACGAGAAGACCCUAGAAAUUUUAAAGAAAUAUCUUUUUGUUGGGGCAACAAAGUAGUACUAUAAAAUCUACUUUAAUGACAAGAAAGAUUUAUUUUGAAAGUUUAAAUUACUCUAGGGAUAACAGCAUAAUUUAUUAGAGUUUGUGACCUCGAUGUUGGAUUAGGGAAUCUACGUUUAAAAG